AAAAGCUGUAGCUUGAGGCUGAUUCGUGGUUGCAAAGGGUUAGAGAGAGGGGAGACCGGAAGUGACUGCUUAACAAUCAUGGCAUUUCUUUAAAAGGAGAUGUUUGGAAUUUGAUGAUGAUGAUGACUGCAUAGCCCUGGGAACACAGCAAAGUCCACCAAAUUAUACUUUAGAUGGGUUGCUGUCCGGCCGGUUGGGACAACUACAACUGGUGCCAGCAAGAUGGGGCUCGACUGUUCCAGGAGAGGAGAAUUUCAAUGUUCAUUAGAGGCGCCCAAAACAUGGUCGAUUGUGGGCCUCGAGGGGAAGACACCCAGCAGCCUUACCCAGCGCUCGGGAUCUUCAGGUUCAUAAACACCAUCUGAGGCAGCAGAAAACAAUAAAACAAGAUGGCUACCUAGACCGUUUGGAAAUAUGCAUGGAGAAGAGGAAAACAGGCAUGCUGAGAUAAAAUAGCCACCCCUCUCCUCCUCCUUAAAACCCCACUUCCAAACUCACCCUUAGUCAGCUCAUGGGUUCUGGACUCUGUGUGGCACCCCCACUUUCAAUUCCCUUAACCCAUUCUUAUCUCUGCAACCUUACCCUGUCUCCUGCUGAUUCCUCCUAACAAUGCCUGGUGGGCCUGCCUCGAUGGUCUCACUCCCUGCUUUUCCACCUAUAUCUUUGAGGAGGUAGCAUUCUGCGUUCUUGGUAGAUUGUUCUCGUCUCGCUUAUUACCAGCCUGAGGAAUUCUUUUGCUUCUGGGAACAAUCCCAAGGGACCUCUGCCCUUUCCCAUCCUUACAGCUACAGGGAACCUAUAUCAGUAGUUACAAUUACAGUCUUCUAGGAACAGGUACUGGGAUCUCCUCCCU
rnacentral:lncRNA from 1 species